GACGAACGCUGGCGGCGUGCCUAAUACAUGCAAGUAGAACGCUGAAGCGAGGAGCUUGCUCUUCUUGGCUGGGUUGCGAACGGGUGAGUAACGCGUAGGUAACCUGCCUUGUAGCGGGGGAUAACUAUUGGAAACGAUAGCUAAUACCGCAUAACAAUGGAUGACACAUGUCAUUUAUUUGAAAGGGGCAAUUGCUCCACUACAAGAUGGACCUGCGUUGUAUUAGCUAGUAGGUGAGGUAAUGGCUCACCUAGGCGACGAUACAUAGCCGACCUGAGAGGGUGAUCGGCCACACUGGGACUGAGACACGGCCCAGACUCCUACGGGAGGCAGCAGUAGGGAAUCUUCGGCAAUGGGGGCAACCCUGACCGAGCAACGCCGCGUGAGUGAAGAAGGGUUUCGGAUCGUAAAGCUCUGUUGUAAGUCAAGAACGGGUGUGGGAGUGGAAAGUUCACACUGUGACGGUAGCUGACCAGAAAGGGACGGCUAACUACGUG
rnacentral:rRNA from 1 species